UCCGGGGGCGGCCGGGGCGGCGACAGGGCGGGCCUCCGGCGCCACGGCGCACCAUUAGUUCAAUGAAAAGGGGCCGGGACUUUAAUACUUUUGUACCAGAUGAGCGGCUCACGCCGUGUGCACGGUUUGUACCCGACGUAAAACAGAACUAAACUAAACUGAACUGUACAAACAACGGGGCAGCCUGGCGGGCUCUGCGUUUCCGGGUCGGGGAGGGGGCGACAACGACGACCGCACCCAUGUGCCCGAAAUGAGACAACUUGAAGGCGCGCCUCAGGUGAGGGGCUGGCACACGUGUGGGCUCGCUGAUGUGGCCAGUUACAGCCCCGAGCAGGAGGGGCCCGGUGUCAGGCGAGCGCCACGGGCCGUACGGGGGGCGUCCUUCAAGCACGUGUCAAGGUGAAACCUCGCAGAUCCACACCUCAGCUCGGAUUUUUUCCCGAUCAGAAACAAUCGCUAAGACAGCGGCGGGGAGGACUGGAGGGCCCACGGCGGCUGGAUCCCAUAUCGUAAGAUGCACGACAUCGUUUGCAGUGUUUCGUCAACACUGAGGGGACACAGUCAGCCACACAGGGGCUGGCCACCCGCCGAGCUAUCUCAGCAUCGCGCGCGGGCUGGCAACACUGGGAGCGCACACCCUGCAACACCCACCAAGAGUCGGUCGCGCCAAAGUCAUUCCUGGCUUCGUGACGCAAAAGGAAGUCGUAAAAAAGUCUUCCCGGUGGACGUCGCUGUGCUCAAACAAGGCCGUCCACCAAUUGUGCCGCAUCAGGACCACACUCUGAAAAAAGGGACACAAUUUUUAAGGCAGAAGAUGCUGGCCAGUACCAAGCAAGUCGACCUUCGGGUGAAUAACGCUCACAUUUGUAGCU